rnacentral:rRNA from 1 species
UACGGAGGGUGCGAGCGUUAAUCGGAAUUACUGGGCGUAAAGCGCGCGUAUGUGGUCUGGUAAGUCGGAUGUGAAAGCCCCGAGCUUAACUUGGGAACGGCAUUCGAUACUGUCUGACUAGAGUAUGGUAGAGGAAAGCGGAAUUCCCGGUGUAGCGGUGAAAUGCGUAGAUAUCGGGAGGAACAUCAGUGGCGAAGGCGGCUUUCUGGACUAAUACUGACACUGAGGCGCGAAAGCGUGGGUAGCAAACAGG